UUAAGCGACUAAGCGUACACGGUGGAUGCCCUGGCAGUCAGAGGCGAUGAAGGACGUGCUAAUCUGCGAUAAGCGUCGGUAAGGUGAUAUGAACCGUUAUAACCGGCGAUUUCCGAAUGGGGAAACCCAGUGUGUUUCGACACACUAUCAUUAACUGAAUCCAUAGGUUAAUGAGGCGAACCGGGGGAACUGAAACAUCUAAGUACCCCGAGGAAAAGAAAUCAACCGAGAUUCCCCCAGUAGCGGCGAGCGAACGGGGAGCAGCCCAGAGCCUGAAUCAGUGUGUGUGUUAGUGGAAGCGUCUGGAAAGGCGCGCGAUACAGGGUGACAGCCCCGUACACAAAAAUGCACAUGCUGUGAGCUCGAUGAGUAGGGCGGGACACGUGGUAUCCUGUCUGAAUAUGGGGGGACCAUCCUCCAAGGCUAAAUACUCCUGACUGACCGAUAGUGAACCAGUACCGUGAGGGAAAGGCGAAAAGAACCCCGGCGAGGGGAGUGAAAAAGAACCUGAAACCGUGUACGUACAAGCAGUGGGAGCACAGAGCAAUCUGUGUGACUGCGUACCUUUUGUAUAAUGGGUCAGCGACUUAUAUUCUGUAGCAAGGUUAACCGAAUAGGGGAGCCGAAGGGAAACCGAGUCUUAACUGGGCGUUAAGUUGCAGGGUAUAGACCCGAAACCCGGUGAUCUAGCCAUGGGCAGGUUGAAGGUUGGGUAACACUAACUGGAGGACCGAACCGACUAAUGUUGAAAAAUUAGCGGAUGACUUGUGGCUGGGGGUGAAAGGCCAAUCAAACCGGGAGAUAGCUGGUUCUCCCCGAAAGCUAUUUAGGUAGCGCCUCGUGAAUUCAUCUCCGGGGGUAGAGCACUGUUUCGGCAAGGGGGUCAUCCCGACUUACCAACCCGAUGCAAACUGCGAAUACCGGAGAAUGUUAUCACGGGAGACACACGGCGGGUGCUAACGUCCGUCGUGAAGAGGGAAACAACCCAGACCGCCAGCUAAGGUCCCAAAGUCAUGGUUAAGUGGGAAACGAUGUGGGAAGGCCCAGACAGCCAGGAUGUUGGCUUAGAAGCAGCCAUCAUUUAAAGAAAGCGUAAUAGCUCACUGGUCGAGUCGGCCUGCGCGGAAGAUGUAACGGGGCUAAACCAUGCACCGAAGCUGCGGCAGCGACGCUUAUGCGUUGUUGGGUAGGGGAGCGUUCUGUAAGCCUGUGAAGGUGUACUGUGAGGUAUGCUGGAGGUAUCAGAAGUGCGAAUGCUGACAUAAGUAACGAUAAAGCGGGUGAAAAGCCCGCUCGCCGGAAGACCAAGGGUUCCUGUCCAACGUUAAUCGGGGCAGGGUGAGUCGACCCCUAAGGCGAGGCCGAAAGGCGUAGUCGAUGGGAAACAGGUUAAUAUUCCUGUACUUGGUGUUACUGCGAAGGGGGGACGGAGAAGGCUAUGUUGGCCGGGCGACGGUUGUCCCGGUUUAAGCGUGUAGGCUGGUUUUCCAGGCAAAUCCGGAAAAUCAAGGCUGAGGCGUGAUGACGAGGCACUACGGUGCUGAAGCAACAAAUGCCCUGCUUCCAGGAAAAGCCUCUAAGCAUCAGGUAACAUCAAAUCGUACCCCAAACCGACACAGGUGGUCAGGUAGAGAAUACCAAGGCGCUUGAGAGAACUCGGGUGAAGGAACUAGGCAAAAUGGUGCCGUAACUUCGGGAGAAGGCACGCUGAUAUGUAGGUGAAGCGACUUGCUCGUGGAGCUGAAAUCAGUCGAAGAUACCAGCUGGCUGCAACUGUUUAUUAAAAACACAGCACUGUGCAAACACGAAAGUGGACGUAUACGGUGUGACGCCUGCCCGGUGCCGGAAGGUUAAUUGAUGGGGUCAGCGCAAGCGAAGCUCUUGAUCGAAGCCCCGGUAAACGGCGGCCGUAACUAUAACGGUCCUAAGGUAGCGAAAUUCCUUGUCGGGUAAGUUCCGACCUGCACGAAUGGCGUAAUGAUGGCCAGGCUGUCUCCACCCGAGACUCAGUGAAAUUGAACUCGCUGUGAAGAUGCAGUGUACCCGCGGCAAGACGGAAAGACCCCGUGAACCUUUACUAUAGCUUGACACUGAACAUUGAGCCUUGAUGUGUAGGAUAGGUGGGAGGCUUUGAAGUGUGGACGCCAGUCUGCAUGGAGCCGACCUUGAAAUACCACCCUUUAAUGUUUGAUGUUCUAACGUGGACCCGUAAUCCGGGUUGCGGACAGUGUCUGGUGGGUAGUUUGACUGGGGCGGUCUCCUCCUAAAGAGUAACGGAGGAGCACGAAGGUUGGCUAAUCCUGGUCGGACAUCAGGAGGUUAGUGCAAUGGCAUAAGCCAGCUUGACUGCGAGCGUGACGGCGCGAGCAGGUGCGAAAGCAGGUCAUAGUGAUCCGGUGGUUCUGAAUGGAAGGGCCAUCGCUCAACGGAUAAAAGGUACUCCGGGGAUAACAGGCUGAUACCGCCCAAGAGUUCAUAUCGACGGCGGUGUUUGGCACCUCGAUGUCGGCUCAUCACAUCCUGGGGCUGAAGUAGGUCCCAAGGGUAUGGCUGUUCGCCAUUUAAAGUGGUACGCGAGCUGGGUUUAGAACGUCGUGAGACAGUUCGGUCCCUAUCUGCCGUGGGCGCUGGAGAACUGAGGGGGGCUGCUCCUAGUACGAGAGGACCGGAGUGGACGCAUCACUGGUGUUCGGGUUGUCAUGCCAAUGGCACUGCCCGGUAGCUAAAUGCGGAAGAGAUAAGUGCUGAAAGCAUCUAAGCACGAAACUUGCCCCGAGAUGAGUUCUCCCUGACUCCUUGAGAGUCCUGAAGGAACGUUGAAGACGACGACGUUGAUAGGCCGGGUGUGUAAGCGCAGCGAUGCGUUGAGCUAACCGGUACUAAUGAACCGUGAGGCUUAACCUU
rnacentral:rRNA from 1 species